rnacentral:rRNA from 1 species
UACAGAGGGUGCGAGCGUUAAUCGGAAUUACUGGGCGUAAAGCGCGCGUAGGCGGCUUUGCAAGUCGGGUGUGAAAUCCCCAGGCUUAACCUGGGAACUGCAUUCGAGACUGCAUUGCUAGAGUAUGGGAGAGGGAAGUGGAAUUUCCGGUGUAGCGGUGAAAUUCGUAGAUAUCGGAAGGAACAUCAGUGGCGAAAGCGACCUCCUGGACCAAUACUGACGCUCAUGUGCGAAAGCGUGGGGAGCAAACAGG